CUGAGAGUGAACUCGCUAAAUCUGACAAUAUGAUCAGUGAUAAAAUGAUUCCCGUAUUUAUAUCAAUACUGUAUCCACCUCUUAAUGUGGGAGUGGACCGUCCAUCCCACCGAUUCAUCACACACACACACACACACACACACACACACACACACAGAGGGAGGUUUACUACGCACUUUUAGUUUGAUAGAUUUCUUUAAUUUAGCUGUUAGGUGUGUGUGAUGUUGAUUGAUUGAUUGUUUGAUUAUGAUCACCUGAAGAUUUAUAGCAUUUUGUAUAUAACCAUUGAGAACAAGUGAAUUGUUACACUGAUGUUUGCACUGUUUUUAUCUCCAGUUUAAACUUAAUGAAACUAUUUUUAGACUGCAGACCUUUUUCACAUCUAUAAAUGAAAAAGACAAAUAAAUAAUCACUUGAGUUGGGUGACUAUGGAUAACAUAUAGGGUACAACGGGGCUAAAGGCACACCUUAAGAAAAACUGUGCUUUUCACUACUCUCAAAGUAUAUGAUUGCAGGAAAAAUAUAUAUGUUUGUAUUGGACAUUGAUGGAGCAAUGUAUUUUGUGUGAAAAAAAAUCAUAAAGUGGUAAAUUUUGUUUAAAAAUCUUAUAAAUGUAUGAGGUGGUGAGGGGAGCCUUUUACCACACAUGGGGUAAAAGAAACACAGUAUUUAUACGAGUACUUUAGCUAAAAUAAUGUUUUUAUUUUGAUAAAUAAAAGAAUUCAUUUUUCAAUAAAUAUACUUAAUUAAAAUAGGUCUAUGUGAUAUAUAUUUUUAUAUAUAAAAUAUAAAUACAGAAACAAAAUUAUUUUAAAAAGUAAAGAUUCUGAAAGCAUUGAAGGAGAUCCCAUAAUAGCCUAAUAUAGAUUUACAGUAGUAACAAUAAAUUAUAUUUUAUUAUGAUAUGAUUAAUAUAUUUUAAAAUAUGAUUGUUUCAUUAUAAAUAUGGGUAUUAUCUCUAAGAUGAAUACCCAAUUUGAUAUAUGAUAUUUGCCAUCUGAAUCUAACCAUGUCAUGUCAAGAAAUGGAAAAGUUAGUCAGCUAUUCAUUAUCAUGUUAAUUAUUGUGCCUUUUGCCCCAACAGCAGGGGCGCUUUUUACCCCAAAUGCCAUACUUUUACAUAUUCUUCCGUUAUUGAAAAACUGUUGCUUGAAUUACCUCGAACAAAACUGAAAAUCAUUAAGAAGACCUUUGUCUGAAAAUACAAACAUUAAAUUAAUGGAUUCUUAUUUGCUACUUUAAUCUACAACAUUUUAAAAAAACAUCAAAUAUUAGAUCAAAUUACCUCAGAAUCAACUUUGCACUGCUGCCCGCGAUCGAGUCAAGGAUCAGACAAAUUUGCACAUGCAUUUUGAAAAGCGGAUAUUUAGGAAAGUGCUGCGGCAAGUUUUUGUGCCAUCUAGUGGUUUAGAGGAAAAUAAAAUCAAAGGCGCCUUUUGCCCCAUUGUACCCUACAGUUUAAUCUCUCUGAUUCUGCCAAAUCAUUCAGUUCCUGUAAAACUGCUCAACUGUUUUCUUCAGCGCUUCUUUAAAGAAAAUGUUCUGUACAAAGUACAAAAACGUUACACAUAUUAUUAAAUAUUUUUUGCACAUUUAACAAAAACAAAUAUACAAAAACACGCAGUUUUUGUGUGUGUCCCUUUAAAUGCAAAUGAGCUGCUGCUCCUGGCCCCCUUUCCAGAAGAGGGCGGAGCUUUAACAGCUCGCGCUUCGGUCGCUCAACAACAACAAAGCUGGAGAAUCUCACGCAGCCAAAAUGACGACAGUGUUCAACCUUACAUUGUCGGACACUGAUGGAGAGACUCAGGAAGAAGUUACAACUUUUAGACGUUUCUGAAUGGUUAGUGGAUAAAUUUAUGUAGUUGCUGUGGAGUUGAUUCAACUCAUCCACUAGCAUGUGCCGUCAUGUUAAUCUUUUGUGUUGAAUUGACCCUCGUUUGUGAAGCAGUCCGGCGUAAAUUGACGGCAUGUCAACAACACUCUACUACAACAACUCUUCCUCUUCUCUAAAGCAGCCCAACAUGGCCUCACCCCCUUUGUUGUGUGUUCUCGGGGGCGGGGUUUAUGUAAAUUUUAGGGUUUGUGAUGUCACUAACCCAGGAAGAAGCUCGUUGUAGUCCCUACCAGCCGUUUGUUGUAGUCCUUAAACAGAGAAUGAGCGUUGCAACUUUGCAGAUGUUGUUUAUGCUCAAACAGCAACAUUACACGCUAACUAAAAAGUGAAAUCAUAAUCAACCACCCCUUUAAAAUAUUUAGACAACAGCAGUUUUAUAAAUGAUAUUUUUGCAUAAGUAGAGAAACAGUCCUCAAGUUCGACUCACAGACUCACUAUUGCAUUAAAUCAACAGCAGUAUUUGAUGUUCUUUAGUGAUUAUGAGUCAUGAAUGAUCACCUCAAAGUUGUACAGAAGUAUGAAAUUAUCUUCUACAAUGUAAUAAAAAUACAUUUUUAAUGUCUUAGUUAUAGCCAUAGGCCAUCAAAAGUCUGUUUAAAACCAGCUUGUCCUGUUUGUUGUAAAUAUUUAGGGUAAUGAUUUCUUUAGACCAUGGGACGAAAAGUUUGUUCUCUGAUAUGCCUUCGAGAUAUCACGCCACUGUAGAAGAUGAUGAUUGGCCCGUGCAGUGGGAGUAAUGUUGUGUUCGACUGUUUAUCAGUGUAAUCCUGUGAUGUUUUAACGGCUUGGCAUCAUUUGAAAAAUUGUUUUUGUGCCAUUGGACUUUGACUACAUGAUUUGAAAGUUUCCUCAGUUUCUUUUCCCCAUCACUCAAAGGCUCUACUAGAAGUCAAAUUAGACCAUUAAAUCAAACUUUGACAUUACCAUUGAAAUUCACACAUCAAUCCAUCACCCAUUUCUCUUUGAAGCAAAAGGUACACAUGCACAAUAUUCAUAUUACCUCACUGAAUAAGGUCUCGCUGUCCUAGCUAGAGUUUACUCUUGAUUCUAGUGUCAUUACAAACAACCGCCAAGAGUUUUAAUACACUUUUGUGUCCGUUUGUUUGACAGAUUCAGCUGAGAAAUGAGUAUUUAAACUCAAGACAAAAAGUACAAAAGCAACGGCUUGCUACAUAAAAGGAUUUAUUUAUGAAUUAGAACAAUUUUAAAAAGGGCACACAAAACAGGGAAUACUUCAUCUCAACAUUAUAAUCAUUAAAAAGAAAGAAAAGCAGCAGGUGGUUCCGGCCUUCAUGUCAGAACCCAAA